UGCAAAAGUAGACAUGGCGUGAUAUUGGUCCGGCUCAUCUUAAUUCACUUCAGACGAGCCGAAUCAAUAUCACUCUUGUUUGCUUCAUU
rfam:Cajanus cajan CcLG11_2780, whole genome shotgun sequence.